UACAGAGGGUGCGAGCGUUGUUCGGAAUUAUUGGGCGUAAAGGGCGCGUAGGCGGUGCCACAAGUCACUUGUGAAAUCCCCGGGCUUAACUCGGGGCCUGCAGGCGAAACUGUGGUGCUGGAGUAUGGGAGAGGUGCGUGGAAUUCCCGGUGUAGCGGUGAAAUGCGCAGAUAUCGGGAGGAACACCCGUAGCGAAGGCGGCACUCUGGGCCGGUACUGACGCUGAGGAGCGAAAGCGUGGGGAGCAAACAGG
rnacentral:rRNA from 1 species